rnacentral:lncRNA from 1 species
CAGAGAGAGGGGAGCUGGAACAUGUUAGGGCCCCCGAAAGCCAAGAUACCCCAGAGCCCAGGAAUCUGAGAAGAGUCCACGUUGAGGGCAGCGUUCGCCUGCGUUCUCUGCCAAGGGGCUGUGGAUUUCGGGACUGAGCACCGUGUCCCGGGACCUCAUCCCCAGGAGGCAGGGCCAUGGGACAGCCCCCAGCGCCAGCCGUGUGGAAUGUGCCACUCUUGGAACUGAGGCUCUCGGUUUUUAAAAUUGGCUUGUAAAUCUCCGUGUAGUUUUCAGGCUUUAGGAAUUUUAUUUUAUCUGGAUUAAAGUCAUGUUCUGCUUUGGCAUAGGAAGGCGUUUAUGACUGUUAAAACAAGAAAUGAAAAAUAUAGGCCUGCAAUCAGCCGGGCUGCCUCCUGCCAGAGUCUAGGGAUUUGUCUUGGGGGCCAGGCUGAAGGUUUGCUGCCCUUCUCCCCGCACUGCUCUGUGUUUCUCCAGAAAGCUGGAGCUGGCUGCCUGGGAGCGGCUGUCGCGAUGGCUGGGAGGGCCUCAGGAACGAAGCCUUUGUCUUUGCUCAGGUGUGUUCUCACAAUGGGGAGCCACGGCCCUCCCCAAGGACCAGCGAGCAAUGGGCGCAUCUCAUUCGCUGCCUGCAUUUGCCCCCGCCCAUCCAAGAGAGCAGAAUCAGAGAGGGCCAGCCGCGAGUCACGGAGGACAAGAACUGAACGACUUCAUUGCCAUUCAUUGGGUCGCCAUAUUUGCACUGGCAACGAAACCCCCAGGAUACCCCUUGCCCUGGCAAUCAGUGUCCUAGGCAAAUGGAGAACAUUAAGAAGUCACUGCACAGCCGAGCAUAACAUGCCUCGCUCUCUUUCACACAGACACACCAAGUCAGCAUUUCAAUUCAAGAAAGCUCCCAAGACAGAGGUGACACAGAAACACACUUUGGGGGGAAACUUCCCCCUUCCCUGGAAUAGGAUACCAUAUGUGUGACUCCCUCUCAGGGUCAGUAUGGCUGGAACAUGCCAUUUCUCCUCUAUCCAGUUACCCUACAUUCGACUCUGUCACUGUGACACCAUAUGCUGCCGGAACAACACAUCCUCAUUCCUUGGAAUAAAAAGGUCUUUCAUAAGACUUAUUAAGUCUGAAUCUUAAUCAUAGUCAUCAUUAUUCAGUCUGCUUGCUGUCCACAAUAUUGAAAUGAAGGGAAACAAGAAAUAGAAAAAGACAAGUUUACAAUCUUCAAGACACCAAUGAAUAAGAAACGAUGGCGAAGAAAGCAAGAGUGACCUCAAAAAAAGAAACGUCUUAAAGUGUAAAAAAAAAAAAUCCACAAAUAGACUCUUAGCUUUCAAUAUUAGUCUUUACUUUAAAAAUAAGGGGAGGGAUGAUUAAAGAGAUGAAUUCACAUUUGAAUAGAAUCCAAAUGACUUAAGAACUAUUUGGAUCCGAAUAUUUCAGUUGGACAAGGAAUGAUAUUAAAGUUAUGUGAUACAUUAG